rnacentral:misc_RNA from 1 species
GAGAGCGGCAGGCUGUACAGGCUCGUGAACGGGAAGGCGGGCAACGUGCUCGACCUCUCCGGGUCCGACAACAAGUCCCUCAUCGGAUACGACUGGCACGACGGUCAGAACCAGAAGUGGCGCCUCGAGCAGGACGAGGGCGCAUGGACCCUCCGGAACCACCACUCGGGCCAGUACCUCGGCAUCGAGGGCGAGGCCAGGGACGGCACGCCCGUGGUCGGGCUGUACGAGCCCUUCCGGUGGGACAUCUGGCCGGACGAGGAGGACUCCUCGACCUUCAGGUUGUUCGUCCCGAACACGCACUACAACCUCGACCUGAGCGACCACGGGAACCCGAACCCGGGCACCCCCGUCACGCUCUGGGGGAAGUGGCACCCGGGCAAGAACCAGACCUGGCGGUUCGAGGAGGUUUGAGU